GGCCUCGUAGCCUAACGGUUAUGGCGUCAGGCUCAUAACCUGAAAGUUGGUGGUUCGAAUCCACUCGAGGCCU
rnacentral:tRNA from 1 species